rnacentral:rRNA from 1 species
UUUCGACGGUAUGGUAUUGGCUUACCGUGGCAGUGACGGUUAACGGGGGAUUAGGGUUCGAUUCCGGAGAGGGAGCCUGAGAAACGGCUACCACAUCUAAGGAAGGCAGCAGGCGCGCAAAUUACCCAAUUCUAACAGCAUAAGAGAGGUAGUGACAAGAAAUAACAAUACAAGGCAGUUAAAAUGCUUUGUAAUUGGAAUGAUAGAAAUUUAAACACUUUUUAAAGUAUCAAUUGGAGGGCAAGUCUGGUGCCAGCAGCCGCGGUAAUUCCAGCUCCAAUAGCGUAUAUUAAAAUUGUUGCAGUUAAAAAGCUCGUAGUUGAAUUUCUGCUAAAAAUAACCGGUCUGCUUUUAACAAAAGUGGUAUCUUGGUGUGUUUUUAGCAAUAAUGUCCUUUGAAAUGUGUUUUACUUUGUUGUAAAAGACAAUAUUCAGGAUUUUUACUUUGAGAAAAUUAGAGUGUUUCUAGCAAGCUAAUGUUUUGAAUACUGCAGCAUGGAAUAAUAAAAUAGAAUUUUAGUUCUACAUUGUUGGUUUUAAGAGCUGAAUUAAUGAUU